AGCAAAAUUGAUUGAUAACAAGAAGUAAAAACAAAACGUGAACUAGAUAGUGAGUGCAUUGUAUGCUAUUAAGAGUUUAUAUCUUAAAUUUCCCUUAAGUUAUUAAACAGUAAAAUUCCUAAUUGUAACUUAUUGCUAAAAGGUGCAUGCAGGUAUAAACGAUAGAUAUUGUGAAAUAAACAGAGUACAAAGUUUCGCUGAGAUCAAGCAACUAUACGAUACUAUUACAUAUCUACUUAUACCUAAGACAAGCACAUCAAAGCUAAAACUAUUUUUAAACCGAACAGUGCCGAUCGAAAGAAUUUGCAUAGUAAAUCCACAUUUAAUUGCAAAGGUUCACCAAAAAUUCUUAAAGCCUACCAAUCACAAAUAAGGUUUGCUUGUGAGAUUUUGGGGAAAUCAUCCGUACA